AUUGAACGCUGGCGGCAUGCUUUACACAUGCAAGUCGAACGGUAACAGGCCGCAAGGUGCUGACGAGUGGCGAACGGGUGAGUAAUGCAUCGGAACGUGCCCAGUCGUGGGGGAUAACGCAGCGAAAGCUGCGCUAAUACCGCAUACGAUCUAUGGAUGAAAGCGGGGGACCGAAAGGCCUCGCGCGAUUGGAGCGGCCGAUUUCAGAUUAGGUAGUUGGGGGGGUAAAGGCUCACCAAGCCAACGAUCUGUAGCUGGUCUGAGAGGACGACCAGCCACACUGGGACUGAGACACGGCCCAGACUCCUACGGGAGGCAGCAGUGAGGAAUUUUGGACAAUGGGCGCAAGCCUGAUCCAGCAAUGCCGCGUGCAGGAAGAAGGCCUUCGGGUUGUAAACUGCUUUUGUACGGAAUGAAACGGUCCGGGUUAAUACCCUGGGCUAAUGACGGUACCGUAAGAAUAAGCACCGGCUAACUACGUGCCAGCCGCCGCCGUAAUAC
rnacentral:rRNA from 1 species